rnacentral:rRNA from 1 species
UACGGGGGGAGCAAGCGUUGUUCGGAUUUACUGGGCGUAAAGGGCGCGUAGGCGGCCACCGCAAGUCAAUUGUGAAAUCUCCGGGCUUAACUCGGAAAGGUCAACUGAUACUGCGGGGCUAGAGUGCGGAAGGGGCAACUGGAAUUCUCGGUGUAGCGGUGAAAUGCGUAGAUAUCAAGAGGAACACCUGAGGUGAAGACGGGUUGCUGGGCUGACACUGACGCUGAGGAGCGAAAGAGCGUGGGGAGCGAACAGGAUUAGACUACCC